AUGAGCGCCGUUGACCUCACCGUAGAACAGCUUGCUGCCCUCGCCAUCAGGUAUCAGCUGGCCAACCUCGCCACCGGCCGAACUUGCUGCCAGGUCAGCACGGCUGUUGUGCCCCUUGCAGAAAAAAAAACUUCGCACAACACACCCUUGCUCCCUGGUCGUCGUUGCAACAUAUCCAAGUCAAUCUUAAAUGCAAAGCCUGCAAGGGGAAUGUCAUAUACAUGGAAGAGCAUAUUAAAAGGGAUCAAUUUGCUAAAUAAAGGCAUAAUAUGGAGAGUGGGGAAUGGCAAAUCUAUUAACAUAUGGAACGAUCCAUGGAUCCCAAGAGGAAUAUCAAGAAGGGUCAUAUCAAGGAAGGGCAACAAUCUAAUCACGCACGUCGAGGAGCUCAUAAAUCCAGUAACUAACACUUGGGACCUAGACCUACUGAACCAAUCAAUGGUAGGCGAAGAUGUACAGGUUAUACUCAGGAUCCCAAUUCAUGAGCAGCUAGACGACUUCCCAGCAUGGCACUAUGAUAAGAAAGGACUUUUCUCAGUCAAAUCUGCAUACAAAGUAGCACGGGAUUGUGAAGCACGUGAAUCUGUGAAAGGGCUACCUGAAUGCUUCAAUCCAGUGGGAACCACAUGUGGUUUUGAAUGGAAGAAACUAUGGUCACUCCCUCUGCCUAACAAGAUUCUGCAUUUUCUAUGGAGAGUGGCCACCAACAGUUUACCAUUGAGAAUGAAGCUGAAACAAAGAGGUAUAAAUAUUGAUACCAGGUGCCCACUUUGUUUUAGAUUAAAUGAAGAUGGAGGCCACAUUUUUUGCAAAUUAGUUAAACCAAUCUGGAGAGGACUUCAAAUGGAGGACACAAGAGAGUUAAUUGCUCGAUGCCCAAGCGGCCCAUCUCUCCUACAGGAAAUAUUCAAUCUAAACGAAGAAAAGAGGCUCACAGCUUGUUGUUUGCUCUGGAUCUGGUGGGCGGAAAGGAAUAAAGCAAACCGAGGAGAGAAACCAAGAACAUCAGAUGAGAUAAUUACCUCUGUCACAGUUCAUGUUUUGGAAUACAAGAACAUGCAGGUGGUUGGGGCUUUAUAG
rnacentral:rRNA from 1 species